rnacentral:rRNA from 1 species
GCGAGUCGAGCGCAGGCAAACUGACGGAACUCUUCGGAGGGAAGGCAGUGGAAUGAGCGUUUGACGGGUGAGUAACACGUAAGGAACCUGCCUCAAGGAUUGGGAUAACUCCGAGAAAUCGGAGCUAAUACCGGAUAGUUCAUCGGACCGCAUGGUCCGUUGAUGAAAGGCGCUCCGGCGUCACCUUGAGAUGGCCUUGCGGUGCAUUAGCUAGUUGGUGGGGUAACGGCCCACCAAGGCGACGAUGCAUAGCCGACCUGAGAGGGUGAUCGGCCACACUGGGACUGAGACACGGCCCAGACUCCUACGGGAGGCAGCAGUAGGGAAUCUUCCACAAUGGACGAAAGUCUGAUGGAGCAACGCCGCGUGAGUGAUGAAGGUUUUCGGAUCGUAAAACUCUGUUGUAAGGGAAGAACACGUACGAGAGGGAAUGCUCGUACCUUGACGGUACCUUACGAGAAAGCCACGGCUAACUACGUGCCAGCAGCCGCGGUAAUACGUAGGUGGCAAGCGUUGUCCGGAAUUAUUGGGCGUAAAGCGCGCGCAGGCGGCCUUUUAAGUCUGAUGUGAAAGCCCCCGGCUCAACCGGGGAGGGCCAUUGGAAACUGGAAGGCUUGAGUACAGAAGAGAAGAGUGGAAUUCCACGUGUAGCGGUGAAAUGCGUAGAGAUGUGGAGGAACACCAGUGGCGAAGGCGACUCUUUGGUCUGUAACUGACGCUGAGGCGCGAAAGCGUGGGGAGCAAACAGGAUUAGAUACCCUGGUAGUCCACGCCGUAAACGAUGAGUGCUAGGUGUUGGGGGGGUUUCCGCCCCUCAGUGCUGAAGCUAACGCAUUAAGCACUCCGCCUGGGGGAGUACGGCCGCCAGGCUGAAACUCAAAGGAAUUGACGGGGGACCCGCACAAGCGGUGGAGCAUGUGGUUUAAUUCCGAAGCAACGCGAAAAAACCUUUACCAACU